rnacentral:rRNA from 1 species
CCUACGGGGGGCAGCAGUGAGGAAUAUUGGUCAAUGGGCGCGAGCCUGAACCAGCCAAGUCGCGUGAGGGAAGACGGUCCUCUGGAUUGUAAACCUCUUUUGUCGGGGAGCAAAAGAUGCCACGCGUGGCGUUCCGAGAGUCCCCGAAGAACAAGCAUCGGCUAACUCCGUGCCAGCAGCCGCGGUAAUACGGAGGAUGCGAGCGUUAUCCGGAUUUAUUGGGUUUAAAGGGUGCGCAGGCGGAAGAUCAAGUCAGCGGUAAAAUUGAGAGGCUUAACCUCUUCGAGCCGUUGAAACUGGUUUUCUUGAGUGAGCGAGAAGUAUGCGGAAUGCGUGGUGUAGCGGUGAAAUGCAUAGAGAUCACGCAGAACUCCGAUUGCGAAGGCAGCAUACCGGCGCUCAACUGACGCUCAUGCACGAAAGUGUGGGUAGCGAACAGGAUUAGAUACCCGAGUAGUC